ensembl:lncRNA novel transcript
AACAUCACUUCCUCCUUCUGUUCUGACAUCAUCAAUCCACUUUGUAGUUUGCUGGAAUGAGUUAACAUUUGUGAUAUCGUAAACUACUACAGCUGCAGCAGAAUCACGGAUGUACCUGGGAAUGAGGCUACGGAGACGUUCCUGACCCGCCGUAUCCCACAGCCGAAGCCCGAUUGUUCCAUCCUCCAAGAACACCAGCUUGAAUUUCCUCAGCGGAUUCCCGAAGUCUCCGCCCGCGGACAUGGUGGAACUAGAGGAGCUGUCGCCGCCUCAGCCCAGAGACCUCCCGGACCGAUGCUGCUCCAGCCGGCUGACGAAAAAGGAAAUACCAAUUUUUUUAGUAUGGCAAGUGUUUCCAAGCAUUGAGAAGUGGAGAGUGUAGGAUAUCCACUGCAGAAUGAGGUCUGCUUGUCAUCCUCUUAGUCUCCACUGCUAUCCCUCCCUCAUCUCUCUCUGUUUCAUUGA